CCAAGAUAUCCAAAAUAUUACCAUAUCAACAUGUGAGCAAUAUAAAAAUUAUUUUUUGUACCACAUCUUUCAAAUCAGGUGGGCGUUUUACACUUAAAAUAUAUCUCAAUUCACACGAGCCACAUUCUCAAGUGCUCUAAGACACUGGUCCUGGUCACUACUGACUGAACAGCACAUCAAGGCCCUUGCUGUCUCAGGCCAUCACAUCUUGGGCCCCUUAGAAGUGUGGUAUCUUGGGCCCUUCCCAUGUCCCAGAGAAUUCAAAUGCACAUUCAAGGCUGAGGAAAUGGGCCGGUUCUGCUGCACACACUUCUGUGGCUGCCUAUUGCUUUCAUGGUAAGUGGCUAACUUCUGAGCUUGACAAGCAUCCAUCCAUCCAUCCCACCCAGCCACCCACCCACCAUCCUAACAUCACUCAUUCUGGACAUGGCUCCUGAGCACUGAGUGCUGGGCCCCGUGGUGGGUGGUCUGGGUGGUACUGGGACACAGCAGGGCAGACUGGCCUCAUUUAUUCCCUCUUGAAGCUCCCAGCAGGCAACGGCCAUCAUUCAUGCUCCCUUUGACUAGUAUGGAUGCUGUGUGCUCUGCACAAAGUUACAGCGGGCGAGAGAGCGAGCAAGCGAGGUGCACCCCAGGAGGCCUGACCUGGCCGGAGUGGACAGGGAUCCAGAAACGAAGCCAAAUAAGGGAAGAGGCCACAACCGUGGCAAGCCGCCACGGGCAGAUUAAAUGUCCUACUCCAGGGGACAUGACUGCCAAACAACCUGGCCCAUCUUUAAGAAGGAUCACUUUCAGCAGAGAGUCGAGGAGACAGGCCCUGAGUGUAAGGUUACAGGAAGAUCUCCAGGGCGACACGACACCAUGCAAAGAAAAGUAGGAGAAAGGGAACCGAGGACUAGGAAGGGACUCAGCUGGCCAGCAGAUGAGUAACUUGGGUCAAAGAAUCACAUCAUGGUGAGCCUUUCCUUAAAAAGCCCUUCCAGUAGCCAGGCCUGGUGGGACACACUGUUAAUCUCAGCACUUGGGAGGCAGAGGCAGGUGGAAGCUCUGUGAGUUCAAGACUAGCCUGGUCUACAGAGGAAGUUUUAGAUCAGCCAGGGCUACACUGAGACAGUCUCAAAAAGGAAAAAAUAAAAUAAAAAGCCCCUUUAUUAGACAUACUUGAGUUUGCUAGGACAGCAAGCAGAGGGGUUGGGGAGGGGUGAAGUCAGCAGUUAAAGAUGACAGCAGGAUUUAUAUUAGGACAGGAGUAUAUUAGGGCUUUCUGCUUUUAGGUGUUUAAACUUCCCUGAAAUGAAGAAUUCCUUUUUCUUCAGGACAACUGAAGACAAAGGAAAGUUUUAGCCGCUGGUGAAGGAAGGCACUGAAGCUCUUCCUAAAGGGAGAAGUCAAAAAAAAAAACCAGAGCUCCAAGGAAGAAAGUGGUUAAAGGCACGCCCAGAGGCCCAGGAUGCCUGCCUUUCUAUCUGAAAAAGGCUUGAGCCUGGUCAUAGGCGCAGGCCUGGAGACCCAGCAGGCUGGGAGGUGGAAGCAGGAGAGUCAGGGGUCAAGGUCAAACUACAGUGAGUCUGAGGUAAAGCUGGGCUCCCCAGCCUUGCCUUCUCUCUUUUUUUUUUCAGACAGGUCUCACUGUGUAGCGCCCAGGUGCCCUGGAACUCUCUCUAUAGAUCCAGGCUGGACCUGAAUUCAGAGCUCUGCCUGCUUCUAGCUCCCAAAUGCUGGGAUUAAAGGCUGAUCCACUAUACCUGGCUUUUAAAUAGUAUCUUUUGUGUAUGAAUGUUCUGCCUGCAUAUAUGCAUGUGUGCCUGGUGACUAUAGAGGUCAGCAGAGGGCAUUGGAGUCUCUGGAACUAAAGUUAUGGAUGGCUGUGAGCCGCCACAUAAAGAGCUGAAGCUCUGUCCUCUAUAGAGCAUCAAGUACUCUUAAUUGCCUAGCUGUCUCUCCAGCUCCAAGACUCCUGUCUUAAACAAAACAGGUGAUAAGUUUAAACUCCAGAUGCCUUAUUGAGAGCCUGUUCCAAGGUGACUGAAUCUUGUCUAUGGUAUGGCUGAGUCUCCAGGCCCAGGCCCUAUCCCCAGCACAUCUUCUGGGAAGACUAAGCAGUAACUGAACACAAGCCUACAAAGGCUCAAGCCUGUGCCUGGCUUGGGGAAGCUACUGUGACAUGGUCGGCAGUUAUUGGUAUACUUUGGGCUUCUGAAACCAGGCUGGCCUCAAAACUUGUGAUCAUCUGCCUCUCAAGUGCUGGGACAGGUCUGUGUCACCACACUGGUCAUUCUAAGAUGGAUCAAAUGGCCAUACUGACAGCUCAUGGUCACCAACUUGCUGUCCUCACAGCCAGACUCCACAGUGGCAGACUUGUAAUGUGGCCAACACCCAGAGAAUCUGUCAGCUACUCUGGAUGCUGUGACACACAGCAGAGCCCUGACUCUAGGCAGGGAUGGUGACAUCUGAAGGUUCCUGGAGGGGCAGCUCCAACAUGUAUUAAGAGACAGGAGCUGUGGUGCAGAUGUGACUCAAGAGGACACCCAGGGCCGACCAUGACAGACACAGAGGCAGACCUCCUUUCCCCCCACUCUAUAGGGCCUCUGCAGGAAUGAACAGACUCCUGGAGGUCUGUUUCCUUGUGGCUACACACUGGGGAGCUUCUGAGUUAGUGGUUUCCCACAGAGUUUAACAGGGCUGAAAAUGGGGGUUGGGAGUGGGAGGACGGCAAUGGGUGAGGCAGAGUGGCAGAAGGGAGAUGCAAGCCCCUGUGGACAGGCUGGGUGAGCCGGUGGCCACUCAAGGGUCACUCUGAGAGAGGGCAGGGUGAGGCAGCAUACAGAGCUGACAGCCCAAGGACUACCAGGGGCAGAGGGUGUUUCACAAGCCUCGAGAGUAGGAGGAGACGAGGAGACAUACCAGCACAGGUAGGAAACAAGACUGUGAUUGUGAGACUGCUAGAAGUUGAGGCGAGCGAGGAGAGCUCCCAGACAGUAAGUAAAUGGUGAAACACUGGGACUUGCUAGAUGCUGUCUCUGGGGUCAGCAGAAUGGCAGGCAAAGUCUGGCUGCAGAGAGAAGUGCUUCACAUGCAGGCCUGGUCAUGCUGCUAGCUUCUGCCAAGAUGACCAGACAAGAACGAAAAGCACACAAAGGAGUUUGCUUGCCAUCUAGAAGGUCCCAAGGAAGCAGGAAUCUGUGUGGCUCCUAGGUGCUGACCUGAGUCAGAGGCAUGAACAGAGGGAUACAGAGAUGUGCGUGUGGGAGGCUACAGAUGAGUGAUACCCUAGGCAGCACCAGCUAGGACAGGAAGUAGUGGCACACCCCAUGCCUAGACCUGAGUCUAACACUGUUCUCCAGUAGAAGGGAUCAGAGCUGCCUGGAAAAAAGCCCAUGAAUCUGUGACACGGUGCAGGGGCACAGAGAAAACACAAGGAGAGAAAACAGGGAGGAUGCAGGAGCCUGCCCGGAAGGCAGCAGCAGCUUGGACAAAACAGUCAGAGCAACACUGGGUCAGACAGCUACGAAAUGGACACCUUGAGUUCAUGCCAACACAGCCACUAUAGAAAUAAACUAACAACAACAAAAAUACAAUAAUUCUUAUUAGAAUGUCACAGGCCAGAGCCACUGGUGAGGAGUGCCAGCAGUGGUGACACUCAGGGGCAGGGGACAGUGUCACAGCCCCAGUGUCCUCUGAGUCUGCCAAUUACUGUAUAUUAGCCCUGGAAGGUGUGAACAGUGCUCAGAGGGGCAUUUACUGGAAGCUUCAUCUUCACCGUAACGAUGUCACUGGGGGUGUGCUCUCUAUGAGACUCCAGUUAGUCCCCAUGAGCAUUAUACAAAAGCAAGCCUGGCCUUUCCUCACUGUCUGGCUGCCUGUCUUACUGCUGACCCCUUUCAGACAUGGUGGCAUCUACCUCAAGUCUGAACUGAGCUCUUUAUACAUGACCUAGUCUCAGGUACUUUGCUAUAGUAACAGAAAGCAGGCUAUUGUGCUGGAGUAGUUUUAACAUAUGGACACAAAUCCUCGUGACAGUUUUCUCUCCAGGAAUUAGAGCUUAAGUGUCCCUUACUUUGAGUGUGAGAUGAAGUUCGUGACCAUUCUUACAGAAAGACAGUGGAAGUGGACACAAUAAUCCUAGAGCCGGGGAAACCUGUAGACACCCUGAAUGAAGGCCAAGGUCAACUACCUUAGUAGUCUUUCCAGCUUUACAUUCCCUAUGCAACCCUGAGGAAAUGCUUAACAAACGCAGACAGAGCGGCACUCUGACUGCUGACUGCCACCACUCAAGACUGCCCUAGAGAAGAGAAGGCUGGAGGGAUCGCCCCGGAGUGGGACUGACGAUCAGUGCAGUGUGGCCCCGGGGCCAGAGCUGGAACAGAAAAAGCAUGUUCAGAGGCAAAUGGGAGAGAUAGGCUUAGAAAACGGGAGCAGGCGCGGAUGUCCUAGCUUUGGUGGGUAUGUCCUAGAAGACACUGACACCAGGGGAGCGGGGUACAUCUGACACUGACACCAGGGGAGCGGGGUACAUCUGGGGACAGUUUCUGCACAAUCUCUGACACUUUUCUACAAACCUAAAAUUACUGAAUGACAGUUUCCUCCCUACUGACUGGGCUUCAGUGGUCCCCAGCCACCAUCUGACUCCUGUACGCCUCACUCCCAUCUCCUAUCUCAGAUACCUCGGACUGGGCCAGGCAUGGCCUCCAGGUUCCCAUAGCCCUUUGCAACCUAAAGAUCUUGCCACCAUGACUCACUCAAGUCUGUUUGCCCAUCUCAGCCUUGACCACUGUCUGCAGACAGCCUGCCUUCCCACUGGCUCGUGUGUUUGGUGAAGGCAGAGGCUGGCCAGGCCUGCCAUCACUAUAUCUGGGUCACAGGAACACAUGUGGGAAGAAAUGCUCCUGACCUAACUGUGAGCCUUUCUCAGCUCAGAGCCUGCUAGACUAUGUUCUACAGGCAUGCCUACCACUUCUCAGAUUCACACACAUAAGAGGACCUCCCCUGCCAAAAACAACCCCCCCCCAAAAAAAAACCAAAAAAAAUAACCAAACAAAAAGAAACAACAACAACAACAAAAAAAAAAACAGGUUCAAAUCUUUGACCAACUGUCAGUACAUUGUAACUGAGACUCGGGGUCACAGAGCCCUUUGCAGUAGAUAUACAUCAGCCACUGCAGACCUGAACUCCUGGCCCUUGCAAUUCAACCCUGGUUAGCUGAAGUGGGACCAAGAGUGGAAGAGUAGCAGGGAGCAAGACAGGAAGGCCACACAGAGCUGGGGCAAGAGUUUUCCCCAAGAGCAGCUAACCACCUGCUCAGAAAGAGGAAGCAGUAGAUGCUGAGGCAGGGGCCAGCCUCAGUCUAGCAGCCAGAGAGUCAGGUGCUGUCCCAGGUUCUGACUCAAGCUCUACUCCCAGGAGGGACUUCUCUUGCUUUCAAAGCUCAGGACCAACCAAGAAGAGGUAGGGAGUUCUGAAUUCAACACUAUUCAGACCCAGAAAGCUCCACACUAGUCAUCCUACACAGAGGUUAAUGUGGCUUUCCAGUCCUGGGCUCCGUCUUCCCCUUCGGCGACCUCUCAGGGAUUUCACAGUAGCAAUACGGUGACCAUUGUCAAAUGUGCCUAUACCUGCUGCUCUUUCCCAUUCAUAGGCCAGCAUCGUUCCUCCUUCCUACACUCAGGCUGCUGUUCCAUCCCACACCUAACUGACCACCUCUUCUGCUACCACUAAGGUCAAAACAAACCACAUGCAUCAACACCAGCUGGACUAGCCACUGGGAUGCUUCCAACCUCUGCCCACACCUCAGAGCUCAGUGCUCAAAGAGGCUGUUGCUUUCCAUGUUAUUCAGUGCCAGAGUCAAGCCCUUAUGACAUCUCCUCAUGGACUUUGUCCUGGUCCUCUUCACUCUUGUCCAAUUUCUGUUCUCUCUAGCUUUCUUUUCCUAGCGGGGAUGUUUUCCUUCCCUUUGGCCUAGUUCUUUAACGUUUUCCUCAAAGAUGCCCCCCUUAUAGAGCUCUCCUGUCUCCGGCCCUCCGACUCUCAGUAUCCAUGGCUCUUUGCUAACAUUCCUCUUGCCUCUGGGAUGCAGGCUUUGGAAUGGCAGGGCACUUGUCUGCUGUAGCACUGGCAUCCCCCAACAGUGCUCACAAAAUGGCACUGUGAUCUGAAGAAUCAACGAACAGGAGCAACAGUUCACUAGGACAUCAUGGCUUCCCAGUAACAAGAAUCCCAAUUUAACUUGGCUCUACAACAACCUGCUGCAUUCCCUAUGAGCAAGUCAGAAGCAAACUGACUCCAUGGCAUUACGAUACCACCAAGGAUGGGCUGCUCUUCCCAUCUUGCCAAGGGAACAGCCUACAACUACUCUCCUAGGACUGCCGCUCACCCGCCCACCACCUCCUCAACACCUAUAAAGACCUUAAUGCUGACAGAUGCCAUGUUGAUAGUAAUGACUGAGUCCUUGGGACUUACUAUGGAUAAGGAUCUUGCAACACUUUAGUGACACCUGUUCUGUGCCUUCAUUUUUCAUCUGUAGGAUGGAUAUGACAACAGUACUACUUAGUUAUGAGGAUUCAGUUAGCUAUCAUAUAACAUUACACAAUCUUACCAUUGUAUGACUGGUUAGCUAGUAUUGAGAAGCAAAUCAUCCUGAACAGUGUAAUAAAACCACAAUUGCUUAUUUCAUGAUUCUGGGAUAUGGGCAAGGCUGAGGAGUGGCUUGAGGACGACUCACGUCUAUGCUCUAGGGAUAUUGUUGCCUAAGUUAGAAGAUCCACCAUGCCAUGCACAUGCCUGGCACAGCUGAAAUAGGUAGGGCAGAUGCUGGACCUCUAUAAAGAAAUCAGGGAGCCAGGUGGUGGCGCACACCUUUAAUCCCAGCACUUGGGAGGCAGAGGCAGGCGGAUUUCUGAGUUCGAGGCCAGCAGCCUGGUCUACAGAGUGAGUUCCAGGACAGCCAGGGCUACACAGAGAAACCCUGUCUCGAAAAACCCAAAAAGACAAAUCAGGACACCAGGAGUGACACAGAAGGCUGUCAGACCUGCUAAGGACACUUGGCUCAGUGUUCUUGUGUUGAUUAAUACUCUGGCCCAGUCAUUACUCAAGAGGAAGGGAUUCCUCAUCUUGAGCAGAAACACCAGACAAUAGGGACUGUCUUUAAGUGUAACCAUUGUAAUACCCAUCCGAGGAUACCUUUAAAAAUAUACAACUGGGGCUGGAGAGAUGGCUCAGUGGUUAGGAGCACUGGCUGCUCUUCCAUAGGACCUGGGUUCAGUUCCCAGCACCCACAAAGAAGUCUGCAACUAUCCCUAACUCCAGGUCCAGGGGAUCCCAUGCCGUCUUCUGACUUCUGAGGGCACAAGGCACAAACACGGCAAAAUAUGCAUGCACACAAAUCUAAAAUGAACAAAAUGCCAACACAGCUAACCUUACACUCUGUCCCACUGAUUAAAAUUCUGCUGCAACUCUCCACACAUGGGGCGAGGUAAGGUGGGGUUGGUAUGGGACAACGUGGGGAUGGGGAUGAGGGAGAACACAGGGGAGGGGGGAUAGAUGAACACACAGGAUGGACAAGGUAUGGCCCCAUGUUCGAUAGCCUCUGGGUGCCAAUCAUCACAUACACGCACACUUCUCUCUGAAUAGAGCUGAUGCUAAGCCUAUGGUCUAGACAGUCUUCCCAGGAGCCAGAUUAGAAAUCCCUAAUCCAGACUUCAAUGCUUUUGAUCCUAGUCACUCCCCACUGCUGUGCCACCUGACUCUACCUUGAGACUGAAGUCUUUCAAGGCAGAGCCAACCAUCCUUUCUUCUCUGUUGUGUUUCCACAUUGUUCACCACUGGAGUAUUCAGCAACGUUCACUAUAUAGAAGGGGAUGUGGGACAUCCCAGGAGACUGGAAUCAGGAUCUACUCUUGAAAGUACUCAUCUGACAGUGAGCCUGAGGGGGUGUUACAUAUUCUUCAAAGUGGGAGAUAAAGCAUAAAGUGGCCGGGCU
rnacentral:lncRNA from 1 species